GCGAGACCUGCUACUCAUAAUAGCCAGCAACACCCUUGCGGUGGUUGGGUACAUUAGGGAGGACUGCCCUCCAAAUCGGAAUAAGGAAGGGGACAACGGGGGGUCUGUAUGCCCGGAAUCAUCGCGGGGAAGGCGGGAACGCGAAACGUUACGGCGCCAUAGGAUGUGGCUGCGGCCGAUUAGGUAGACGGUGGGGUAACGGCCCACCGUGCCCAUAAUCGGUACGGGUUGUGAGAGCAAGAGCCCGGAGACGGUAUCUGAGACAAGAUACCGGGCCCUACGGGGCGCAGCAGGCGCGAAACCUUUACACUGCACGCGAGUGCGAUAAGGGGACUCCGAGUGCGAGGGCAUAUAGUCCUCGCUUUUCACGACCGUAAGGUGGUCGUAGAAUAAGUGCUGGGCAAGACCGGUGCCAGCCGCCGCGGUAAUACCGGCAGCACGAGUGAUGACCGCUAUUAUUGGGCGUAAAGCGUCCGUAGCUGGCCACGCAAGUCUAUCGGG
rnacentral:rRNA from 1 species